GAUGAACGCUGGCGGCGUGCUUAACACAUGCAAGUCGAACGAAGCGCUUAAACGGAUUUCUUCGGAAUGAAGUUUUUGCGACUGAGUGGCGGACGGGUGAGUAACGCGUGGGUAACCUGCCUCAUACAGGGGGAUAACAGUUAGAAAUAGCUGCUAAUACCGCAUAAGCGCACAGCUCCGCAUGGAGCAGUGUGAAAAACUCCGGUGGUGUGAGAUGGACCCGCGUCUGAUUAGCCAGUUGGCGGGGUAACGGCCCACCAAAGCGACGAUCAGUAGCCGGCCUGAGAGGGUGAACGGCCACAUUGGGACUGAGACACGGCCCAA
rnacentral:rRNA from 1 species